GACGAACGCUGGCGGCGUGCUUAACACAUGCAAGUCGAGCGGUAAGGCCCUUUCGGGGGUACACGAGCGGCGAACGGGUGAGUAACACGUGGGUGACCUGCCCUCAGCUCUGGGAUAAGCCUGGGAAACUGGGUCUAAUACUGGAUAUGACUCCACGGUGCAUGUCGUGGGGUGGAAAGCCUUGUGCGGCUGAGGAUGGGCCCGCGGCCUAUCAGCUUGUUGGUGGGGGAUGGCCUAUCAAGGCGACGACGGGUAGCCGGCCUGAGAGGGCGACCGGCCACACGUGGGACUGAGACGACGGCCCAGACUCCGUACGGGAGGCAGCAGUGGGGAAUCUUGCGCAAGUGGGACGAAAGCCUGACGCAGCGACGCCGCGUGAGGAUGA
rnacentral:rRNA from 1 species